UCGUGCAUUUGAGCGUGUUUGUACCGUGGAGAGCAAAACAAUCCCCAUAAUUGACUGAUUUCUGAGUAACUCCAGUAAGUUGCUCUCUGUGUUGUUAUUUAGUUGUAUGUAGAGGGCGGGACUCGAACUGAAAGGAACAAGGCGCGGCCAAGAACCCCUUCACACGUGUAGACAAAGGGACCAUCAACACAACCCAAACAUGCAGGGAAAAGUUUUCCCGCGCGCUGUACCUCACGCCAGGACCUCAGGCCAGCACGCACGGGACUGAGCACUGGAGAGCUCCUGUUCUAAACGCACGUCCUUUGAAGGAUUUAUUUAAUUAUUUUUUCUGCUGUGGGAUUUGACUUUCCUCCGGGAUUAUUGGACUAUCCAUAAUGAGAAUGAUUACUUUCCACUUCUAGACACAGUGGAGCAACUAAAGUGCAUCAGUUGGCAGGUCAGACGUGUGCUAUGCAUCUGGACACUCAAGCUGUGCUGAAAUAUGUGAGCCUGCGGACGAGGGAGGCUGAAUGCAGCGCACAUUAGCAGGUUAAAGGAGGGGGCCUCGUUACGCGGAGGAAGCAGUUUGGGAGGGCAGUGAUUGCCUCCUGACAUUUUUACAGCCCUGGCGAGGGCCAGCGAGUCGCGGGAGGAGGGUCAUUAUGCUCCACUCCACACGGGAGAAGAUGGCACCCUCUGGCCCUCCACAGGUUUUCACUUUCCACUGAGAGCCACGUUACUGACCCGGCCGAGCAGGCGAAUGAGCGGGCAACUCUGCCCCCGGUGGCCAGCGGCGGUCAUGCACGAGCUGUGUUGCAUGAAUGCCCACAUGGUUACCUCAUUCACAGAAAGGUCACUGAAGUACAGCAGGAGAGCGGCGCGGUUUUCCUCCAAUAGACAUAUGAAGCAGCUGCCUCUGUGAAAGAAAAGAGACAUUCACUGUGAGAGCUGCAAUCCAAUUUAAUGACAAGAAGGGGUUAUAUGGCACACAUUUUCUUUUUUUACAAAGCCAAGACAAGGAGAAAGAAAACAAGAGCUGUAUAAAGAAUAAAAAUGAUGCGAUUUAUAU